rnacentral:rRNA from 1 species
GAUGAACGCUGGCGGCGUGCCUAAUACAUGCAAGUCGAGCGAACGGACGAGAAGCUUGCUUCUCUGAUGUUAGCGGCGGACGGGUGAGUAACACGUGGAUAACCUACCUAUAAGACUGGGAUAACUUCGGGAAACCGGAGCUAAUACCGGAUAAUAUUUUGAACCGCAUGGUUCAAAAGUGAAAGGCGGUCUUGCUGUCACUUAUAGAUGGAUCCGCGCUGCAUUAGCUAGUUGGUAAGGUAACGGCUUACCAAGGCAACGAUGCAUAGCCGACCUGAGAGGGUGAUCGGCCACACUGGAACUGAGACACGGUCCAGACUCCUACGGGAGGCAGCAGUAGGGAAUCUUCCGCAAUGGGCGAAAGCCUGACGGAGCAACGCCGCGUGAGUGAUGAAGGUCUUCGGAUCGUAAAACUCUGUUAUUAGGGGAGAACAUAUGUGUAAGUAACUGUGCACAUCUUGACGGUACCUAAUCAGAAAGCCACGGCUAACUACGUG